CAAAAACAUCGCCUCUUGAUUUUUGAUAAUGAGAGGUUGUACCUGCCCUAUGGUUUUAAAAGAUAAGACUAAAUGGUUGCAGCUAAAUGCUGUACUAAGGUAGCGUAAUAAGUUGCCUCUUAAUUGGGGGCUAGAAUGAAGGGUUUGACGUAAAAAAAUUUGUCUCCAAAAUAGUAGUAUGAAGUUUUCUUUUCAGUGAAAAGCCUGAAAUUGUGAUAAAAGACGAGAAGACCCUGUCGAGCUUGAUAAAGCGUGUAAAGAGUUGUAUAUUAAUAAGUUUAGCUGGGGCAGUUCGGAACAAAUAAAAAGUUCCGUUUGUGUUAUAAAGAUCCGACUAAUGUCGAAUAAAGAAAAAGCUACCGCAGGGAUAACAGCGCUAUUUUUCUUGAGAGGACUAAUUGAAGGAAAAGAUUGCGACCUCGAUGUUGGAUUAAGGUAACUUUCUGGUGCAGCCGUUAGAGUAGUAAGACUGUUCGUCUUUUAAAACCUU
rnacentral:rRNA from 1 species